rnacentral:rRNA from 1 species
UGGGGAAUAUUGCACAAUGGGCGCAAGCCUGAUGCAGCCAUGCCGCGUGUGUGAAGAAGGCCUUCGGGUUGUAAAGCACUUUCAGCGGGGAGGAAGGCGGUGAGGUUAAUAACCUCAUCGAUUGACGUUACCCGCAGAAGAAGCACCGGCUAACUCCGUGCCAGCAGCCGCGGUAAUACGGAGGGUGCAAGCGUUAAUCGGAAUUACUGGGCGUAAAGCGCACGCAGGCGGUUUGUUAAGUCAGAUGUGAAAUCCCCGGGCUCAACCUGGGAACUGCAUCUGAUACUGGCAAGCUUGAGUCUCGUAGAGGGGGGUAGAAUUCCAGGUGUAGCGGUGAAAUGCGUAGAGAUCUGGAGGAAUACCGGUGGCGAAGGCGGCCCCCUGGACGAAGACUGACGCUCAGGUGCGAAAGCGUGGGGAGCAAACAGG